GCCCUGCCCUGGCACGGGGGAGCCCAGCGGGCGCUGCUGCUCCUGGCAGAGCCCCCCAGCUCUCCCAGCCUGCCCCUCCUCGGGGAUGCUUUUCUGCUCGAAGGGGCCUCCCAGAUGCUAUUCCUGGCCCAGUUUUAGGGCAUUCACUGCCUGAAGCUUCCGCUGGGCUGUUUGUGGAGCCCUCGUGGCUGGGCAGGGCAGGGGUGGCAGGGAGGCUCCUCGCCUGAAAGCUUUCACUGUAAUUAAGCUGAACAAGAGACCGAGUUAAAUCUCUGCUUCUCUCGCUCUGCCAGAGCGAACACAAAGAGGAGGAAAGGCCUGAACCAGACAAUUAAAACAAGCAAUAACAUUGCACGGAGAGAUCCAUGGAAUGAUUUUUCCUUGACACGCUCGCCCCCAACAAGUGCCACAUGUCCUGUGUAUAAAUAGCAGCUGCCCAGACUUGCUUAAUCAUCCCAUUGUUGCUUUAUAAUAUUAAUUAAACAUUCCUCUGGGAUUGUUUGCAUCCUAAUUAAGUGGGGAACUUACAAAAGACAGCGAAGAAACCAAACAAGUGCGUGCUGGGGGUGCAAUUUUGCUAAACCGUGUGCAACUGGCCUUAAAAAAAAAAAGUUAAAAUUGCAGGACUGUGGUUAAAAGCUUUUUAAGAGUCACCAGUGACGGGGACUGUUUGGUGAACCGUCCUGGGGGAUCAGGAGCGGCUCCUCUCUCCAGAAUGUUUGGCUGAGGGAAGCCAGGGGGGCUCUGGCAGGAUGAGCAUCCCCCCGUCAGUGCCACAGGAGCGAAUCGUCCCUGGCAGGACCCCACCAAUAUCAAAGGGACAGUUAAUCCGCAGCUGCUCCGCACUGGGGAUGGAGGGACACCAGGACCUGCUUGGAUCCCUCCAGGCAGCAGCUGGGGCCGGGCAUCGCCGCUCCCGAGCCAGGGAUCCCCAAAACCCCCGGACUCGGGGCCGUGCUGGCCGGGGCAGACCUGCGGCACCGCACGGGUGACAAUAUUUUGUUGCGGGGGAUCCCGGCUUCCGAUGCCGGAGGAGCCUUCCCCAAAGGACAGAUCCCCAGGGCCCCCUGGCCUGCGGGGCUGGGGCUCGUCCUCCCCUCCCCUCCUUCCAUGUGGCCGGGAAGACUCGAGCACAUUGUUCCCGACUCAGCCUCAUGCACCCUGCAGGGAUGUGCUGUGAAUUACUUCCCAAAUUAUGGCUCCCCUGGGUCAGGCCUGCUCCAGCCAACGCUGAAGUUUUAUCAGAAAAAAGCCUCUCCCUGCUUCCUCCAGAGCUUCUCCCAGACCAGGAUUGGCUUUCCCCACAGUCGCCAUCCCUGGGUUAUGCGGAGGACACUGGCAGUGCCACCACCUGAAGGCCACAAACAUCUGAAACUGAGAAUACAGAACUGCCUUUAAAUCCAGGCUAAUCCGAGACUGUGGCAGAGGAAAACACGUCCCUCCUGCACCCGAACUGUGAACAGAGGCCCCACAAAAUGGGAAUUACCUCGCCGUGCACAAUGAAUCGCCUGAGCCGUCCCCCCAGUCCCUGUCCCGGGGCACAGCCCUUGCCUGGGUGGUUUCCGCUGCGCAGUCCCGGUCCCCACGGACAAACACGCGCCUUUCCUGCGGCACUGAGGGCUCACGGCUGCCUUCAUUCCAGAGGAAACCGAAUGGCUGAGGAACCCUAGUGCUGAGAGUCAUUUUGGUUCUAUUCGUGCUUCCUCCAGGGCAGGAGGAGCCUCAGCCUGUUCAGAUACAUGUGGAGAGCUCGCUCCUCCAGCGUGGAGUGCUGAGAGCUCCUGGGGGCUCUGGAAAGGGUAAAGGCAUCUGGCCAGAUGGCUCUCAUUGCAGGGCUGGAAUCUAAAUAAUUAAUUUUUAGUAUCGUGUUCA